rnacentral:RNase_P_RNA from 1 species
GAAGAAGACCAGACCGCCGCUGGUGCGAUGGCCGAAAGGCCGCACGGGAGGAAGGUCCGGACUGCAUAGGGCAGCGUAGCAGGUAACACCUGUCCGCCGUGAGGCGAGGAUCAGAGCAACAGAGACGAGUCGGCCGGCUUUUCCGCAAGGAGGGCCGGACGGGUGAAACGGGCAAUCUCUACGCGCAGCAAUGCCAAAUAGGCCGGCGAUGAUGUGGCCCCGCGGAGCCGGCGGGUAGGCAGCUUGAGCCCUCCAGCGAUGGAGGGCCUAGAGGAAUGGCGGUCCAUGGCGCCGGGCAACCGGUGGCCAUCACAGAAUCCGGCCUAUCGGUCUUCUUCCUCC